rnacentral:misc_RNA from 1 species
GCCGGAGAAUGCAAAAACAGGGGAAAUAAAGGCAGAGAUGGAGAAUGGAGUGCUGACAGUGACUGUUCCAAAAGAAGAAGAGAAGAAGAAAUCUGAGGUGAAGGCAAUUGACAUCUCUGGUUAAACAAGUGUUUGAUAAAAUUUCCUUUCUCAAUAAUAUGUGUUUCUCAAGUACUUUUGGUUUGUUGGAGAUUAAGAUCUUAAUUUUAAUUUAUGUAUAAUUGUGGUCUUCUUCUACUAGCAUUUGUAAACAAGACAAUGUCGCGAGUGUUUAAUUAAUGAAAAAUUUCUUU